GAUGAACGCUGGCGGCGUGCCUAACACAUGCAAGUCGAACGGAGCUGCUUUGAUGAAGUUUUCGGAUGGAUUUAAAACAGCUUAGUGGCGGACGGGUGAGUAACGCGUGGGUAACCUGCCUCACACUGGGGGAUAACAGUUAGAAAUAGCUGCUAAUACCGCAUAAGCGCACGGUAUCGCAUGAUACAGUGUGAAAAACUCCGGUGGUAUGAGAUGGACCCGCGUCUGAUUAGAUAGUUGGUGGGUAACGGCCUACCAAGUCGACGAUCAGUAGCCGGACUGAGAGGUUGAACGGCCACAUUGGGACUGAGAUACGGCCCAGACUCCUACGGGAGCAGCAGUCGGGAAUAUUGCGCAAUGGAGGAAACUCUGACGCAGUGACGCCGCGUGCAGGAAGAAGGUUUUCGGAUUGUAAACUGCUUUAGACAGGAAGAACAAGACAGUACCUAGUAGAAUAAGCUCGGCUAACUACGUAGCCAGCAGCCGACGG
rnacentral:rRNA from 1 species